rnacentral:rRNA from 1 species
CCUACGGGUGGCAGCAGUGAGGAAUAUUGGUCAAUGGGCGGGAGCCUGAACCAGCCAAGUCGCGUGAAGGAAGAAGGUACUUAGUAUUGUAAACUUCUUUUGUCGGGGAACAAAGGCGGAGACGCGUCUCCGGAUGAGUGUACCCGAAGAAAAAGCAUCGGCUAACUCCGUGCCAGCAGCCGCGGUAAUACGGAGGAUGCGAGCGUUAUCCGGAAUGACUGGGCGUAAAGGGUGCGUAGGUGGUUUGACAAGUUAGUAGCGCAACUCCGGAGCUCAACUUCGGAACUACUACUAAAACUGUUGGACUUGAGUGCAGGAGGGGCAAUCGGAAUUCCUAGUGUAGCGGUGGAAUGCGUAGAUAUUAGGAGGAACACCAGUGGCGAAGGCGGAUUGCUAGACUGUAACUGACACUGAGGCACGAAAGCGUGGGGAGCAAACAGGAUUAGAUACCCCAGUAGUC